UACGUAGGGUGCAAGCGUUGUCCGGAAUUAUUGGGCGUAAAGGGCUCGUAGGCGGUCCGUCACGUCGGGAGUGAAAACUCGGGGCUCAACCCCGAGCCUGCAGUCGAUACGGGCAGACUAGAGUGCUGUAGGGAAGACUGGAAUUCCUGGUGUAGCGGUGAAAUGCGCAGAUAUCAGGAGGAAUACCGAUGGCGAAGGCAGGUCUCUGGGCUGACACUGACGCUCAUGCACGAAAGCGUGGGGAGCAAACAGG
rnacentral:rRNA from 1 species